GAGUGUAUAGCCCAGUGGUAGAGCGCACGCUCAGCAUGCAUGAGGUCCUGGGUUCAAUCCCUAGUAUCUCU
rnacentral:tRNA from 1 species